rnacentral:rRNA from 1 species
UACGUAGGGGGCAAGCGUUAUCCGGAUUUACUGGGUGUAAAGGGAGCGUAGACGGCAGCGCAAGUCUGGAGUGAAAUCCCAUGGCUUAACCAUGGAACGGCUUUGGAAACUGGCCGGCUGGAGUGCUGGAGAGGCAGGCGGAAUUCCUGGUGUAGCGGUGAAAUGCGUAGAUAUCAGGAGGAACACCGGUGGCGAAGGCGGCCUGCUGGACAGUAACUGACGUUGAGGCUCGAAAGCGUGGGGAGCAAACAGG